AUGCACUCAUUUUGACACAACUUCUUGUGCAGCCAUAAUUUCAUUUUGUCAAAGUGUAUCAAGUUUCAUUAAGGAUGGACGUUGCAUUGAGCAGAUUAGUCAAAAUUGCCAGUUCCAGACAAUUUAAUUGGCUUAAAUCUUUCCUCAUAAGGCUCUUGGGAUCUUUAGGGUAGAAAAAAGAAUAAUUGGCAAAAGUGUACAAAUACAAUAGGGUUCCAGCACCUUCUGUAAAUACAAUUUAUACAAAGUGCUUUUAAUUAUGAUUGUGGAUUCCUGAAAGUAAAUGCUUGAUGAAGAGGUGUGUGUCUUCAGCUGUUUCUUGAAGAUAGCGAUGCAACAAAGUAGCAAUCUCAGCAGACUGGAUGGAUGGAAGUUAAUGAAGUUUGUGGAAGGUGUCAUGUCUACCUUCUCGAUGAAGUUGCCCUGUUGGCUUAGAGAACAAGUGAGUUUUAGAAUCUAUGUAUCUGUAUCAGAAAUACAUUGUAAGAAACAUUUGGGUUAUUGAACUUAUCUUGUUAAUUUAAUGUUGUCACAUGGUCCAUAUUUACCAGUAGGGACUCAGACAGUUGCCUUGUUAAUGUUGACACAUGACCCACAUUUACUAUAGCAGGGGCUCAAACAGUGACAUGUAGAUGAAGAGAGUCAAGCAUAGAAACAGGAAAAACACAGAGUACCAGUAUUAGAUAUACACUGAUUUUAUGGUGUAACCAACUGAAAAACUUUAGAAACAUUUGGGUUAUUAAACUUACCUUGUUAAUAUACUGUUGUCACAUUGCCCAUAUUUAGCACAGUAUAGGCUCAAACAGUCACAUGUGAAUGAAGGAAGUCAAGCAUAGAAAGAAACAUAGAAGAACAGUUUCAGAAAUACAGUGAUUUUGUGGUGUAUUCAAAUAAAAGGCAUUCAGACUGAAUAUUGUAAGAAACAUUUGGGUUAUUGACCUUACCUUGUUAAUUUAAUGUUGUCACAUGACCCACAUUUACCAUAGUAGGAGCUCAAACAGUGGCAUGUAGAAGAUAGUCAUGCAUAGAAAAAAAAGAGAAAAAAAAUGGAAGACCAGUAUCAGAAAUACAGUGAUUUUAUUCAAACAAAACUUUCUGAUUUUAUAUUGUAAGAAACAUUUGGGUUAUUAAACUUACUUUUUUCAUUUAAUGUUUUCACAUGACCCCCCAUUUGCCAUAGUAGGGGCUCAAACAGUACAUGAAAAGGGUCAAGAAUACACAAAACACAGAAGACCAGUAUCAGAAAUACAGUGAUUGUAGGUUGUAAUCAAAUGAAACAUCUGAUUUUAUAAUGAAAGAAUAUUUAUUUUAGAUUGUAAGAAACAGUUGGGUUAUCGAACUCACCUUGUUAAUUUAAAGUUGUCACAUGACCC
ensembl:lncRNA